AGCACAAUUAUUAGCAGUUUAAGUGUGAUAAAACUAAUAUCUGUAGCCCCUGCGGGCCUGAUUUUAUUGCUUGGUCCUCUUGCUAAUGUUGUCCAUGUAGUCUUUUUUCCUCAUAUGGCUGGUUAUUUUUGACUGUAUGCUGGGUAUUGUUUUGCAAAAUUGCUUGUAGGAAUACUUUGAGGUUGAAAAUGUUAUCUCUUUCCAAAGAAGAUUUAUUUUUGUUUCUGCUAGGUACUUGAGAGUACUAACAAUUUGAGAUCAUCUCAGCUCAAUUUUAGGGUCUGAAAUUAUUUGAAGUCCCUAGGAAGUUCUGUAUUCUUUUGAGUCUCAACCCCAGAGAAUUCAUCAGGACUUUUCCUGUGCUGACCUCUGGACUAGUAACCUCUUUCUUUUGACCCCACAAGACAGUUAGAGGCAUUUAUCAGCUUAUAGGUCACCCCCUCUGGACUUAGCAAACAUCCCAAGGGUUUUGAAAAGCAGCCCUAAAUGGCAGUUCAUCUCCCAGGGGUUCCAUCAUUCCCCCCAAAUCCUGGAGCAGUAAUUUUACCCUAAUUUUUUGUUUGUUUAUUUGUUUGUUUGUUUAGUUCUCUGAUGCUUCAAGCAGAUGUUCUCGUAUAUUCCUCAGAUUUUCAGUAUCAUAUUUGGUUCUAAUGAUAUAGUUUGCCAUUAUCAGAACCUUAAGUCUCCCAUCUUCACUUCUCAAAUUUAAAUUCACGUCUUUCCCUUUUUCCCUUGUAUACAUUGAUAAACCUACAGGUUACUUUAGUACUGUGAUUGUACCAGGUAAAAUUUUAAAAUGGAUGAUUUUCAUUUUCUGGGUCUCACUGCUUCAAAUUUUGUCUUUCAGCCCAUUCAGAUGUUCACACUUCUAUCCCACUUCUACCAUUCAUUAUCACUCACCUCUUAUCAAUCAACUCCACCUUUUUUCUUCUUAUCAGUAAUCUUAUCUCUUAUCAAUAAACUCCAUCUCUUCCCGCAAGGUAACAUCUCUAUAUAGGCUACCCUUAUCACCAAAGCUCAAUAUGACCUUUCUUUUGAAGUCCUCCACCACGUUGUGGGUAAUACAAGUUUAACAGUUAACCAGGUAUAUGUUAAUUAAUUCCUUAACAUUUUGUGUGUGUGUGUGUGUUGUGAAGUCCUUGAGGGAAGGCACGUAUUAUCUUCUUUAUAAUCUCCUCAGCUUCUAGUCCUGUACCUUGAACAUGGUGGGUACUCAAAAUAUUUAAUUGAUUGAGCAUCUCAGGUAUGCCUUGCAAAAAUUGUGCCAUACCUAGGUCUUCAUAUCACAGCAUAGCACAACAUCAUGUACAUCACAUCACAAUGCAUCCCUGUAUUUGAAAGGUUCUACUGCCUUCCCUGCUCACAGACCUAAUCUGGGAGCCCCCACUGAAGGCUUAUACCCAGUCAUGAGCCCCAUUUCCCUAUUAUGGCUGAUUUGACUGGGGUAUAUCCCUAUCUAAUCCCUCAUCAGUUCUUCUGUCAAGAUUUUAGAUAGAGAUAUGGAGCUUGAAACUGAAAUGCUUCAAUCAUAGCAUAUCUGUAAAAAGGUCAUAUAGAUUCCAUGUAAGAAUCCAGAAAGAGGAAGUAAAAUUAUGGAGAUAAAGAAACUGUGAGUAAGCAAAGGAAGCUGACCAAUAAAGCAGAGGAAAAGAGAUUUUAUGCAAAACGACUGAAAGAGUUGAGCAUCCAUGUGGCCUCUGAGGGUCAGCUUUCGUUCCUAGCAAUUUCCCAGUAUCUUCUCCCACAGUGCCUCAGUCUCUGUGUCUGUGAUUUUAGGCCUUGCAUCCAUACCUGAGAGAUGAGUGCUGGGGUGACGGUGACAAAAAACGAGGUAGAAGAGUGCUGCAAGUGCUGAAGAACUAACUGACAAACUGUUUAAAGACCUCUAUUGAACUCCGGCUACGUGGUGGCACUCUUCUAGGCUCUGGGAAUACAGUCUUGGGUCACAC